UACGUAGGGUGCGAGCGUUAAUCGGAAUUACUGGGCGUAAAGCGUGCGCAGGCGGUUUUGUAAGCCAGAUGUGAAAGCCCCGGGCUUAACCUGGGAAUGGCAUUUGGGACUGCAAGGCUUGAGUGCGGCAGAGGAGACUGGAAUUCCUGGUGUAGCAGUGAAAUGCGUAGAUAUCAGGAGGAAUACCGAUGGCGAAGGCAGGUCUCUGGGCUGACACCGACGCUCAUGCACGAAAGCGUGGGGAGCAAACAGG
rnacentral:rRNA from 1 species